rnacentral:rRNA from 2 species
UGGGGGAUAUUGCACAAUGGGCGAAAGCCUGAUGCAGCGACGCCGCGUGGGGGAUGAAGGCUUUCGGGUUGUAAACCUCUUUCGCUAUCGAACAAGGCCCGCUUAGGGUGGGUUGAGGGUAGGUGGAGAAGAAGCGCCGGCUAACUACGUGCCAGCAGCCGCGGUAAUACGUAGGGCGCGAGCGUUGUCCGGAAUUAUUGGGCGUAAAGGGCUUGUAGGCGGCUUGUUGCGCCUGCUGUGAAAACGCGGGGCUUAACUUCGCGCGUGCAGUGGGUACGGGCAGGCUUGAGUGUGGUAGGGGUGACUGGAAUUCCAGGUGUAGCGGUGGAAUGCGCAGAUAUCUGGAGGAACACCGAUGGCGUAGGCAGGUCACUGGGCCAUUACUGACGCUGAGGAGCGAAAGCAUGGGUAGCGAACAGG